GAUAAACGCUGGCGGCGUGCCUAAUGCAUGCAAGUCGAACGGAUGUCGCCUUCGGGUGGCAUUAGUGGCAAACGGGUGAGUAACACGUGGGGAUCUGCCCAGUAGUGGGGAACAACUCCGAGAAAUCGGAGCUAAUACCGCAUACGGUCUGUGUUGAGGAACACGAGACUAAAGCCAGAAAUGGUGCUAUUGGAGGAACCUGCGGCUGAUUAGCUAGUUGGGGGGUAAAGGCUCACCAAGGCGAUGAUCAGUAGCUGGUCUGAGAGGAUGGACAGCCACACUGGGACUGAGAUACGGCCCAGACUCCUACGGGAGGCAGCAGCAAGGAAUUUUCGUCAAUGGGGGCAACCCUGAACGAGCAACGCCGCGUGGGC
rnacentral:rRNA from 1 species